rnacentral:tRNA from 3 species
GCGGACGUGGUGAAAUGGCAGACACGCUGUCUUCAGGCGGCAGUGGGGCGACCCGUGUGCGUUCGAAUCGCAUCGUCCGCACCA